rnacentral:lncRNA from 1 species
AAAUCCUAAUAACCCUUGAAAGUUAUCUGAUUUUGAACUUAAUAUUGAUGUUUGUUGUUUGUGUAGAAAGUUGUGCUUGAACCAGCAAUGCAAACCCGUGCUAUGAUCGAUCCGUCGUGCUAGGACAAGAACUAGAAAGACUUUUGCUUUUGGGAUUCCCGCCAUUUGACAUAAUCAAGAAAUUCAACUCUAACACAGGUUUGUUAAUCCUAUUAUUGUACUUUUGUAUUUGAGGAUUCAAAGAUUUACACUUUCUAUGGUUCUUAUUUAGAUUGGAUGUGUAAAAGGCGUGGAAAGAACCUCUUUGUUUGGUUUUGCGAAGAAAUUUCAGAGAAGCUCCAUCUCUCGGUGAAGAACUAAAUAGAACAUUGAGCAAUCGUCUGAUUACAUCAACGGCAGGUUGAUAGACCUUGGAGAGUGUAUACAAGGAUGAGAAAGCGCGAGAACAUUGAAGAGAAGAGAGCAUAAAAAGAGGAUUGAAAGACUCUAAAUGAAUAAGAGUGUUUGCAGUUAUAAUUGUUACAACUAUACAUACUUUAUGCCUUUGUUAUUUUUGGAGUUUAUCGAGUUGUAAACAUUGAGAGUGAGAGAGA